GACCUCGAAUCAGGUAGGAGUACCCGCUGAACUUAAGCAUAUCAUA
rnacentral:rRNA from 1 species